rnacentral:tRNA from 2 species
GUGUGCGUAGCUCAGCUGGAUAGAGCGUCUGGCUACGGACCAGAAGGUCGCGGGUUCGAAUCCUGUCGCGCACG